UUGGGAGGGGGAGGAGGUGGUGAAGGAAAGCCUGCGGAUAAAUUUCAACCUGAAGAAUGGAGGGUGCUGCUACCAGGCAGUUCCUUGGGACCAAGGAUGACUUUUUUUCUGGUCCCUGAAGUAAAUUCUCCAAAAUUGGAUCCAUGCACCUUGCCACAGAGUUGAGACAGUACAACGGAGGUCAUGAGGAGCAAGACAAGCUGCUGAACAAGGGAAGAGAUGGGAAAGGAGUGUUCUUAGCAGGAAACCAUAUCUGUCCGCAGUGGCUUAAAGAUCAAUUCCCCUUCCUGAACAUCGAUAAUGAACAAUGUGUGCGAUGUCUGUGCUUCAGUAAGAAUGUCAACACAGAAAUCUACCUCCUGCUACAUCUGCAACUUCAGAAGAAAUGAAAUUGAUUGGUAUAAAAUUGAUCACUGUUGUGUACUUCACUGAGGAAAGAUUCACAUUGUGAACUUAUUGUGAGAAUCCAUCAUUGAAUUAACUUUAUUUAUACUUCCCCAAUAGAGAACGCAGCACAGAAGACUCUACAGGAUAGCACUUAGAAACAGCAAUUUAAACAUUAAAACGUGAAACACUGCUUGUACACAGUUUCCUACAGUACAAUAUGACUAAACCAACAUCAAAAUACCUGAAAGUUAACAGGUUGGGCUGCAUUCUCAUUGUUACUAUAAUCAUAACUAAAACACAUAUGGCCAGCACUACCAGAAUAAUUUAGGCACUUAUCUUGAAAAGGAAUAAUGAAAAAAAAAACUUUUUUCUUCUUCCUUGUUGUAUUUAUUCAACUAACCAAUCUUGCUUCUUUGUCCUUUUGUUCAGUUAUCGUCUUCCACUUCCACCAGCUUAGCUUCACUCCACUGAAUUCCACUGAAAAUUUUGACAUGGUCUCCUAUUAGCAAUAUAGAUAUUGAGAGACUUCAUUUUCAGUGUAAUUUUUGGAAAAAUAGUAUUGAAGAAUUUCCACGCCAUAGUUUCCUGAACAGACUACUCUGUUUCUCAGUGAUCUUUUUCACCUCAUUGACAAGACUUGUAAUUCCACUCCAGAAAGAUAUAAUUAACCAUAAGAGUGCUUUGCAACUUCCUGAAGUUUUGAAAGGUGUUAAAUUAAAGCAGCUUAUUUCUAAACUCACCCAUAUGUAAAUUUGUAGUGAAUAAGAGACGUUUAUGCCAGCUAAUAUCUUUGAAAUGCAUGCUGUUUAAAAAUAAAUGCACAUAAAAUACGCAUUGCUCUUUGAUAAAACAGAGCUCAUUAUUAUAAAUGAUUCCAAAAUGAUCAAUGAUUUAUAACAGCAAUAACAUUUAUUUCUAACCCUUACUGACCUAAUGGUGUUGGGAGUAUGGUUGUGAUAAUCCUGACAGUCUUUUGUUCAUUUCAAUGCUCCAACUUGUGGAAUAGAAUUAACUUUGGUUGGCAUAUGUUAUGGGUUUUUAAAUUGUAAUGCCUCACAUUCCUAUCACAUCUGUUCAAGCUUAAGAAAACUGUUGUGAAAUAACCGGAAGUGUGAAGUAUUCACAGAUACUGCAGUUUCAGUUUGGCCAUUUUUAAGUAAAUUCAUGAAUACUUACAUUUGUCACAAAUUCAGAUACUUUGUUUAUGGGUUGCCAGCCUUUGAGAGAAUGUGUGAAUGCAUCUGCACAGACAUCAAAUUUCUUAGUAAGCAAAUGCAAUUUGAAUUUCAGCCUAGUUUUACCACAGCUGUCUGCCAGGGAUAAUUUAGGGGUUAAUGAAAGAAGGGGAAAGACAUAAAGCCACAGGGAGUCGGAAUAAUGUAGGUGGAUAAUUUAUAGAGUAUAGAAUCCCCAGGGAUAGACUUGCAUGCCUAUAUAUGUUGUGCAGAUCAAGGGUUUUAUUGUCCUGGGACUGUGAAGACUGUAAAAAUAUAUAAUUAAUUUUUGAAGGUUGAACAUUUGGAGAUUAAUAUCUGAAGCUCCAUCUAAUGGUAGAACUGAGCAGCUUCAGAAAUGAUUGCAUUGGUAAUGCCCAAAUAAGGGGUGCAGAACAUGUAUAUAUAGCCGAUUAUAAAAUGAUAAUAGAUAUUUAGACUCAAGAACAUUAAAUCAUUUAAAAAAAAGUGGACACUGGUGAAAAGGUGGUAAUGCUUAUUCAAAAU